GCUUACACAUGCAGUCGAGCGGUAACAGGAGAAGCUUGCUUCUCGCUGACGAGCGGCGGACGGGUGAGUAAUACUUAGGAAUCUACCUAGUAGUGGGGGAUAGCACGGGGAAACUCGUAUUAAUACCGCAUACGACCUACGGGAGAAAGGGGGCAGUUUACUGCUCUCGCUAUUAGAUGAGCCUAAGUCGGAUUAGCUAGAUGGUGGGGUAAAGGCCUACCAUGGCGACGAUCUGUAGCUGGUCUGAGAGGAUGAUCAGCCACACCGGGACUGAGACACGGCCCGGACUCCUACGGGAGGCAGCAGUGGGGAAUAUUGGACAAUGGGGGAAACCCUGAUCCAGCCAUGCCGCGUGUGUGAAGAAGGCCUUUUGGUUGUAAAGCACUUUAAGCAGUGAAGAAGACUCCAUGGUUAAUACCCAUGGACGAUGACAUUAGCUGCAGAAUAAGCACCGGCUAACUCUGUGCCAGCAGCCGCGGUAAUACAGAGGGUGCAAGCGUUAAUCGGAAUUACUGGGCGUAAAGGGAGCGUAGUGGCUCUAUAAGUCAGAUUGUUGAAAUCCCCGGGCUUAACCUUGGGAAACUGGCAUCUGAAACUGGUAAGCUAAGAAG
rnacentral:rRNA from 1 species